UACGGGGGGGGUAAGCGUUGUUCGGAAUUACUGGGCGUAAAGGGCUCGUAGGCGGCCAACUAAGUCGGACGUGAAAUCCCCAGGCUCAACCUGGGAACUGCGUCCGAUACUGGAUGGCUUGAAUCCGGGAGAGGGAUGCAGAAUUCCAGGUGUAGCGGUGAAAUGCGUAGAUAUCUGGAGGAAUACCGGUGGCGAAGGCGGCAUCCUGGACCGGCAUUGACGCUGAGGAGCGAAAGCCAGGGGAGCAAACAGG
rnacentral:rRNA from 1 species